rnacentral:lncRNA from 1 species
AAAACUUGAGACUUUUUAUAAACUAGAAUAGCAUAAAUAUCCAAACUAGAAAUCAGAAACUAAAUUGACGAAAAAGAUUAUUAUUUAAUGCUCUAAGUGUGUAAUUCAGUAAGGAACAGUUGUCGAACAGGUUAAACCAAUAAGUACAAGACACGUGACGAAGCACUGACACUGUACGAUGAUGUCGAUGGCCAUUUUGAUACUGAUUCUUUUUGGCGUGCUCCUCCUCUCGAUACUGUUCUUCCUCUCUUACUGUCCUAAGAUUAAUAAUAAAAAGAGGCAAAAAAUUACUAUUUUUUAAAACAAUAACCACUGAGAUAGUGACAAAUCGCAGCCUCUCUAGUUCCUAUGCUUCUCUUGUUUAUGAUAAGUUCAUCAGAAACUCGUCACAUUGCUCCCACAGUCACACCAUGGUCAGGAUCAGGAACACUACAAGAAAACAUUACACAUUUUGACCAUAUUUGUAACCAACCAAAAUGGUCAAAAAUAACUGUGACCAUAUUCCGACCAGUUCAUGAUGAAUAAGAAAAACGGUUAAAAAUGAUCAGAAUUUAUUAACCAAAAUAUAUAGUCAAAAAGUGGUCAGAAAAUCCCCUAUAUAUUAUUUGAGAAGCAUUGCAACAUUUUUUUGUAGCCAUGUGUCAUUACUAGAAUGAUUCUUAGAAUCCUUAGAUAAAUAGGUUGGUCCAUCUAAAUAUAUAAUAAACUUUUUAUUAAACCACAAUAAAUACAUUAUUAAUGUGUUUCAUUAUUUCCUUAAAUAAGAUUACGGAAUUGCCUAAUGUGGCUAAAGUAUAUAUGACAAUUAAUGAUUUUGAAUAAUAAAGAUUUGAUAAAAAUAAGUGUGUAUUAUAAUUAUAUUUGUUUAAUUUUAAGCUAUUAAAUAAAUUAAACAAUCAUAGUAACCAUAUAAUAAUAAAAAAAAUAUUUAUAUAUUAUAUUUUGAAUUUUUAAAAACGAGUAUAAAUUACUGAAAGUGUUAAAAAUUUCACAUUCAAAUUUUGUGAUCUAUGAUUUAAAACUUUUGUUAUGACAUGAUACAAAUAAUUAAAAAAUAAUAUAAGUUGAAAGUCUCAUUUAAUAAAUAUCAAAAAUAAAAGAUAUAUAAAUAUAUGUAUCAUUUUAAAUUAAACUAUAUGCCAUAUAAAAAUGCAUAAAUAUCUUAAUUUUGAAAUUUACUUUGAACAUUUUUUUGAUAAAAAAUUUUAAAAAAUAUUGACAACUUAAUUUUUCAAAAUAUUAUAAAUUACUUAAACCAUUAAUCUCACAAUGAAAAUUUUGUUAUCACUAAUUUAGACUUUUUGCUAUAACAGAGACAAAUGAUAAAAAAAAAUAUGAGCAAAAAGUAUCAUCUAAUAAAUAUUAAUAUUAAAAUAUACCAUAUAUAUGUUACUAUCAUUUAAAUUUAAUUAUAUAUCAUAUCAAUUAGAAAAAAUUUUAUUUAUAUGUUCGUACCAAUUUAAUUAUAUAAGUAGUAGAUAAUGACUUUUUAAUUAUUCAAUAUAUAUUUAUUAUUUCAUAAUAUGUUAUAAACAUAUAAUAUAUAAAAUAAUUUAUAUAUAUAAUGUUCAUCCCGCGCAAGGCGCGGGUCUUAACCUAGUAUAUCAUAUUUUGAUCACAUUUCUGACCACCCAAAAUGGUCAAAAAUAGUUAUGACCAAAUUCUAACUAUUUUAUGAGGAAUAACAAAUAUGGUCAGAAAAUGGUUAGUAUUUUUUAACCGAAAAUAUAGUAAAAAGGUGGAUAGAAAAUUUUGACCAUAUUCUAACCAUUUUCUAAGGAUAUAUGUAGUUUAACCUAGAUCGUAGAUCUGUGUUUGUCAUUCUUAUUUCUUCAGCUUUUUUUUUCAAGCGGCGUUAAGCUUCUUGUCAAUUUAUUUUUUCUACUGAUUUUAUCUUAAUCGAAAGACCUUCCCAUCCCUUUUGUAUUUCUCUGCUUUUUUAUUUUCUACUCUGCUACUUCAUCAUCAUGACCUCUUUCCUUCAUUGCAUGUCAGGUGGAUAAGCUUCAGUGUUGCUGCUUUCACCGUCAUUGUUCCUCUACCCCUUCCAAGGUGAGAUCCAUAUUUUGUGUUUAAAGGACCGUUAUUUAGUGUCAUACUUUGUAAACGAGUAUAGAACCGAACUUGAUUAAUAUACCUAAAUCUGGUUACAGCUGUUUGGUUUUUGUUUUCUAGUCUCAUAUUGAUUAAUUUAGUUUUUUCAAUUGUCGUAGUUCGAGCAUGAAUAUUUUUAAUCUAGUUCUAAUUUAUCUUAUCAUUUUUGUCAAAACACAACUAGGACGGAUCAGUUGAUUGAGACCAUGGAGAAAAACAAGACUAAGAAGAACGAAGAAAAAUUAAGAAGAGCAAAUGAAUACAGAUCAUGUUUUUAAUAUAUGUAUUCUUUUUUUUUGGAACACUUGUUCUUAUGUUGCUAAUCUUAUUUUCUUAUGUUAAAUAACAUUUAUUUCAUAUUUAUUCAAUUUUCAGUAUUUUUACUAUAUUCAUGUUAUUAUUAUAAUUAUUUAAUUUAAAUUAAUCUUCUGUAAAAUGAUUAAUUAAUGGUCAAACAAAUUAACAAAAAAUAGUUAGAAAUCCGUCAAUAAAUAGAUAAUUAUUUUUGACUAUUUUUUGACAUUUGUUUUUGAUGACAUUUUUGACCAUUUAAUUUGGUCAAAAUUUUCUGACCAUUGUCAAUUUCUGACGGAGUUUUUUUGACGAUUUUAUAUGGUCAAAAUAUGGUUAAAAUAGAGUGUUUCUAACGAUUUUCUAAUGAAAUUGGUGGUCAGAAAUUGAACUAUUUUUUGUAGUGGAAUAUCAAUUUCGUUUCAAUAUUUAAUGAGAAUAUCUCAAGAUAUUAUAAAAUUUACCAUGUAUAAGUUAACGUCUUUAGAUUAAGUUUGUACAAAGAUUUCAAUUUCUUUCUUCUCUACAUUGAUGUGCUGUUUCUUUUGUAUACAUAUUUAUAUUUUUAUGACUUCAUGUAUUUUACAUUGAAUUCGAGAGUAUACAUGUUUUUUUGUAGGGCAAUUGUCAAUAAUAGCACCUUUUGAAGUUUAUGUCUCAAAAAUAGCACUAGAAGGAGAAAGUCACAAAAAUGACAUUCAUUAAAGGGUAAAAUAUCGGGAAUUCGGCCAAAAAAAACCUCAACUUUACAUGAAUUGCCAAAACAAACAUGAACUUUGGGACAGGCCAAAAAAACACCAAAUUUUCAUUGACUUUAGAAUUAAUUAACAAUGUUUUCGCUGACUUGCCAAUUUAGCACGCCGUCAACAAAUUUAGCAGAAAUAUUUGACGUCGUUUAUUGUUGACGUUAAGUGAAACGACGUCGUUUUCAAAUAAGAUGAAACGACGUCGUUUUACACGAUUUGAAAUUAAAAUAUGUAAACACCUGGAUUCGAACACAGGUUGGUUGGUCAAAUGGGAAGGUAUUUUACCACUGGGCUACUGGCACUUUCAAUGUACUUACUAACAUGUUUACUUUUAUUUGGUACAUAUUAAAUAUAAAAAAUUCUCUAAAAACUUAAUAAAAUCUUUAAAAUUCCAAAAAAUUAAAAAUAAAAAAGAUUUUUAUAAAAUUAAUUUAGAAAUUAAAAUUAAAAAUAAAAUUUUAUUUUUCUUUUUAAAAAAUAAAAACUCUUCCAAAAUUUUCUAAAAACUUAAAAAGAUCUUUAAAAUUCCAAAAAAUUGAAAAAAUAAAGAAAUUUUUAUAAAAUUAAUUUUGAAAUUAAAAUAGAAAAUAAAAUUUUAUUUUUUUUUUCAAAAAAAUAAAAAAUCUUCCAAAAUUUUCAAUUUUUUCAAUACAUUUGCUAAAAGUUGAAAUUAAUUAUACACACAUAAAAAAUUGAUAAUUCUAACUUUAAUUUUUUGCAUUUUAUUAUAAUUUUAAAAAAUUUGGAUUUUUUUUUUAAAAAAUGAAAAUUUUGGAAUUUUUUUUGAUUUUUUAAAGAAAAACAAAUAUUUAAUUUUAAUUCAAAAUUAAUUUUAUGAAAUUUUUGGAAGAUUUUUUUAUUUUUUUAAAGAAAAAUAAUUUUUUAUUUUUUUUAAAGAAAAAUAAAAUUUUAUUUUCAAUUUUAAUUUCAAAAUUUAUGUUAUAAAAAAUUUCUUUAUUUUUUCAAUUUUUUGGAAUUUAAAGUUCGUUUUAAUUUUUUAGAAAAUUUUGGAAGAAUUUUUAUUUUUUAAAAAGAAAAAAAUUAUUUUCAAUUUUAAUUUCAAAAUUAAUUUUAUAAAAAUCUUCUUUAUUUUUUUAAUUUUUUUGGAAUUUUAAAGAUCUUAUUAAGUUUUUAGAGAAUUUUAUAUAUUUAAUAUGUACCAAAUAAAAGUAAACAUGUUAGUAAGUACAUUAGAAGUGCUAGUAGCCCAGUGGUAAAAUACCUUCCUAUUUGACCAACCAACCUGGGUUCGAAUCCAGGGUUUUACAUAUUUUUAAUUUCAAAUCGUGUAAAACGACGUCGUUUUAUCUCAUUUGAAAACGACGUCGUUUCACUUAACGUCAAUAAUAAACGACGUCAAAUAUUUCUGUUAAAUUUGUUGACGGCGUGCUAAAUUGGCAAGUCAGCGAAAACAUUGUUAAUUAAUUCUAAAGUCAAUGAAAGUUUAGUGUUUUUUUGGCGAGCCCCAAAGUUCAUGUUUGUUUUGGCAAUUCGUGUAAAGUUGAAGUUUUUUUUGGCCGAAUUCUCGUAAAAUAUCCCUAAUACCAUUGGUUUAAAAUUAAAUAAACAAACAAAAAUAAAUAAAAAUAAAUAAAAAUAAAUAAAAAUAAAUAAAAUAAAUAAAAUAAAAAUAAAAAUAAAAAAAAAGAAUUUUUUUUAUAGUUUCAGAUUAUAUGUUUUCAGAUUCGAAAUUUUUAUAAUUUUUUUUAAAAAAAAAUUAAUUUUUUUUAUUUUUUUUCAAAUUUUCUUUUUAUAGUUUAAAAAUAAUUUUUGAAACUGUUUUAAAAAAUUUUAUUUUUUUAUUUUAGUAUUUAUUUUUUAUAAAAUUUUAAACUCUAAUUCCAAAACCCCACCCCCUUAACUCUAAACCCUAAGGUUUGGAUUAAUUAACCCAAGGGGUAUAAGUGUAUAUUUACCUCUUUAAUGAAACCUAUUUUUGUGACUUUGAGACUUGAGUGCUACUUUGGGAACAAAAACUUGGUUUGAUGCUAUCCUAGUAUUUUUCUCUUUUUUUGUAUAAGGAGAGUAACAUGUUUGUGUUCGGUAAAUUCUAAAAAAAUCUACACCCAUUAAAACCAAAAAAAGAAGAAGUAAAUAGUAAUUCACCCACUUUAAUUUGUAUCUUUAGAGUAAAGCUAAAAGAAUUUGUACCAAGUAUCCAUAAAUAAUUAUAGGGGUCCUGCAACACUAAAAGAUAGAGGAAUAAAAGACUUAUGUUCAAAGAAUCAAAGAUGCUGCAAGCAAAGUCGUGUCUACUUUGAAGAGAAUGGCACCGGUUUUGGACUUUCCUAUGGGGUGGUUUUUUGUCUAGGCAAGAAUGCUCAUGCAAGAAACCUUAGAAGCCAGCACAUCAGAAAAGGAAUCAUAUACAUAGCUUCAUAUAUUUUCACCUAAUUUUAAAGUUCAGUAAACUCUCUUAAGUAAAUCUAACUCGUCCUUAAUUAAUUUCCAAGUGUUGUGUUCUCUAGUAACCAUGACAUAGUAAAUGUUCAAACACGAACCAUUAUUUUUUUUCUUUUUUAUCUUUCUCACAAUUCCUCACCCUCUCCCAAAAUUUUCUGUAUUAGUGGAAACUUUUCAGAUAUUCGUCUUCUUUCUAUCAUCGUAUUUUUUGCCAAAACAGGGUAAAUAAUAGUACUUUUUUUCCUAUCGAAGGCACCCAUAUGGAUCUUUCCUAAUGCUUAAUAUAAUCUAUAUUUUAAUCGUUAUAUAUUUCGUACGGCCAUUAUUCUAAUGUAACUUACUGUCCCUCCUCCUAACAAGGUGGCUCCGCCACUGGCCAGGAUCGUCUUUUGCUGAAGUAUAUUUUUGUUUUUGACUAAAUCCUUCUGAAGUAUAUUUGUCAAUAGUUGAAAUACUAUAACAGCUGGUACACAACUAUAAUCGUUAUUAUUUAUUAUUAUCCCUUACUUCAACCAUAACUUUUUUUUCUCAAAAUAUUGUUAAUCAUCAUAGUUUUUCUGAGUAGCUUGAGGAAGAAAUAUCUGAUAGAAAGUUUUUAAAUAUUUCGCAGUUUCCUUAGAAGGCAUGAAAAUAUUAGAAAACAUUACAUAUCUAUCUAUCUAUACUAUUAUUUCUAUUAUUUGCGAAUUAAUUUUUUGCAUUCGAGGUUUCACGUUAAAAGUUAGACAAACUAAAUACAUAGUUAUUUUUAAUGAAUAAUUAAAUUUAUUUUAAUAUAAUUUUAAUACAAUUAACCGUAACAUGAAUUAAUUAUAACAAAAAUAUUCAAAAAUAUUUAAUAAAAAUUGACAAAAACAAUUAAUGUAUAUUGUAUUAUUAUCCAUAAUAAUAAUAUUUUCAGUAGAUAAAUUUUUGAACACAUAUUAAUUAAGAAUUCUGAAAUAAAAAAAAUUAUUAAAUAGUCACGAUAAUUAUAAGUUUAUAUAUUAGCUAUGCUUUGAUAAACAUAGUUUAAGAUCUUGAUAAUUAAUGAAAGCAAUUUAAAAGAAAAAACACAACCAAAAUUGUACAUAAAGAGAUUUCUAAGAUAUUUACAUAACAAAUAAUAUAGAUAUAUAUGCUUUAGUGAAAGACUGCAUCAUAUAUAAAUAGUUUUAUGUUAAAUUUGUUAUUGAUUUUGUAAGUGUAUGACAAUAAAUUAUUUUGUUGGUCUUUAAAUUAAUAAUGUAUUUAUUAAUAAAUAUUAGUAAGAUAUGGCAAAAAUAUAAACCACUCAAAAGAAACUCUGGCUGGUUUUUUCUAAGAAAUAGAAAACAAGAAUUAUCUUUGCACAAAAAAAAAAGAAUUAUCAUGUUUCUUUUGGUGGCAUCCAAUUAUUCUGAUAUGUGGUGAGGAGAAGAUAUGGACAGAACAUAUAUAUAGAUUCUACACUUAAUUUUAUUAUUACCAAGAACACAAAUAAAAAUAAGAAUAACAUCAUUUUAUUGUGGCCCAUACCAAAAGAAAUCAAAUAAAAAAUCAAGAAACUUGCCCUUUCCUUCUCUCACAGACCAUUCUAGGGUUCCUAAAAAUCCCCACUUACCUUUUUGUCGAAUUUCAGCUCUUUUUUCUCUUCAUCAGCUUGAUUUUCCUUUGAAUCUAUCAACAAAUCUCUCACAAUGAUCAUUUCCUAAGAAAAUUUUGAUUAAACAUUAAAUUUUCUUCGCUGCUACCUUACCUCUUCUUUAGUUUCUCUGCCGACACUUAAACUUUCUCUUGGGUGAGAUCUCUCUCUCUUUCUCUCUUUUAUGACUAUGUUAAUCCGUCACUGGCUGGUUUAGGGUUCCAAUCUUUACAGAUCUUGUGGCCGAACCAAAAAAAGUUCA